GACGAACGCUGGCGGCGUGCUUAACACAUGCAAGUCGAACGGAAAGGCCCUGCUUGCAGGGUCCUCGAGUGGCGAACGGGUGAGUAACACGUGGGUGAUCUGCCCUGCACUUCGGGAUAAGCCUGGGAAACUGGGUCUAAUACCGGAUAGGAGCCAUUUUUAGUGUGAUGGUUGGAAAGUUUUUUCGGUGUAGGAUGAGCUCGCGGCCUAUCAGCUUGUUGGUGGGGUAAUGGCCUACCAAGGCGGCGACGGGUAGCCGGCCUGAGAGGGUGGACGGCCACAUUGGGACUGAGAGACGGCCCAGACUCCUACGGGAGGCAGCAGUGGGGAAUAUUGCACAAGGGGCGCAAGCCUGAUGCAGCGACGCCGCGUGGGGGAUGACGGCCUUCGGGUUGUAAACUCCUUUCGCUAGGGACGAAGCUUUUUGUGACGGUACCUAGAUAAGAAGCACCGGCUAACUACGUG
rnacentral:rRNA from 1 species